rnacentral:tRNA from 1 species
GGAUCGUUUGGCCUCUUAUAAAGGGAUUGAAAAUCCCCGUGUCCUUGGUUCGAUUCCGAGUCCGGGCACCA